AUACGGAGGGCGCGAGCGUUAUUCGGAAUCAUUGGGCGUAAAGCGCGUGUAGGCGGCUGGGUAAGUCGGAUGUGAAAGCCCGGGGCUCAACUCCGGAAUUGCAUACGAAACUGCCCAGCUAGAGUCUCGGAGAGGAGGGCGGAAUUCCCGGUGUAGAGGUGAAAUUCGUAGAUAUCGGGAGGAACACCAGUGGCGAAGGCGGCCCUCUGGACGAUGACUGACGCUGAGACGCGAAAGCGUGGGGAGCAAACAGAAUUAGAAACCCCAGUAGUCC
rnacentral:rRNA from 1 species